AAAACGACUCUCGGCAACGGAUAUCUCGGCUCUCGCAUCGAUGAAGAACGUAGCGAAAUGCGAUACUUGGUGUGAAUUGCAGAAUCCCGUGAACCAUCGAGUCUUUGAACGCAAGUUGCGCCCGAAGCCUUCUGGCCGAGGGCACGCCUGCCUGGGCGUCACACGCC
rnacentral:rRNA from 2 species